CCCUUAGACGUUCUGGGCCGCACGCGCGCUACACUGACCAGUGCAACAAGCAUCCGUCCUUGGCCGACAGGCCCGGGCAAUCUUUGAACGCUGGUCGUGAUGGGGAUAGACUUUUGCAAUUUUUGGUCUUCAACGAGGAAUUCCUAGUAAACGCAAGUCAUCAACUUGCGUUGAUUACGUCCCUGCCCUUUGUACACACCGCCCGUCGCGCCUACCGAUUGAAUGGUCCGGUGAAGCCUCCGGAUUGGCGCGCACCUCGGUGCCGCCGAGAAGUUGGCUAAACCUUACCAUUUAGAGGAAGGUGAAGUCGUAACA
rnacentral:rRNA from 1 species